ACAAAGAACUAAUCGCCUUUGGUAGAGAAUUAAAACAAGAGAUAGAGUGUGAAACCCGACCCUUUAGAAUAACAAGAACAACAAUAAGCCUAAACUUAUCACCUUUCUUGAAUACCUAGAAGUGAUCUAAGAUUUCAAAAGAGUUUAAUCUUACCACCUUAAGUUGAGUCUUGAAGGUUGAAGAAUAAAUCCAAGAGAGUAGCCACAUACAAGAGCCACAUACAAGAGUGCAAGAAAAA
rnacentral:lncRNA from 1 species